GUAUUAAAAAGAGACAGUAUAGUAUGCAUUCCUUGGAAAAUCUGAACAAAAUGAGUGAGAACACUCUACCGUCUCAUCGAAUCUGAGGUCC